rnacentral:lncRNA from 1 species
GCUUUAAGGCGAGGAAGUGGUCAACAAUAAUUCCAUAACCGGCACGCGCAUCUAAGGCGCCAAAAGGGGUCGGAGCGUCUGAGCGGGGCGAGGAUAACAAUACGCGCGCUAGCUUAUAACUAAAAGUCGUAACCAAGUUGUAUUUUGAUCCGUUUUGUAUUUACUGAGAAAAAUUGACAUCCUUGGCGCCAAAAAUUCCAAUUCGUCCUCUUAAUAC